rnacentral:rRNA from 1 species
CCUACGUGAGGCAGCAGUGAGGAAUAUUGGUCAAUGGGCUUACGCCUGAACCAGCCAAGUCGCGUGAGGGAAGACUGCCCUAUGGGUUGUAAACCUCUUUUGUCAGGGAGCAACGCCGGCUACGUGUAGCCGGACUGAGAGUACCUGAAGAAAAAGCAUCGGCUAACUCCGUGCCAGCAGCCGCGGUAAUACGGAGGAUGCGAGCGUUAUCCGGAUUUAUUGGGUUUAAAGGGUGCGUAGGCGGAAUGCCAAGUCAGCGGUAAAAUCGCGGGGCUCAACCUCGCUCCGCCGUUGAAACUGGCGUUCUUGAGUGGGCGAGAAGUAUGCGGAAGGCGUGGUGUAGCGGUGAAAUGCAUAGCUAUCACGCAGAACUCCGAUUGCGAAGGCAGCAUACCGGCGCCCAACUGACGCUGAAGCACGAAAGCGUGGGUAUCGAACAGGAUUAGAUACCCCGGUAGUC